GUAAGGUUUCGGGGAUGAAGAGCCAUGAUUGUCAUGUCUUCAUUCAAAGACUUCUUCCAACCGCUUUCCGACCUUACUUACCUAGGCCACUGUGGGAGGCAUUAACUGAAUUGUCCGUAUUUUUUCGAGAUAUUUGUUCAACAAAUUUAAAUGCCCAGCACAUGGAGUUAAUGCAGAUGAAUAUAAUUGAAAUAAUUUGCAAACUUGAAAGGAUUUUUCCUCCAUCCUUCUUUGACUCCAUGGAACACUUGACGAUACAUCUACCUUACGAGGCAAAAGUUGGUGGACCAGUUCAAUAUCGAUGGAUGUAUCCAUUUGAACGGUAUAUGUUUUAUUUGAAGAAGAAAGUGACCAAUAAAGCUAAAGUUGAGGGUUCCAUAUGUGAAGCAUACUUGAUUGAUGAAAUUACCAAUUUUGCAUCUCAUUAUUUUGGUGAUGACGUGCAAACAAUUUGGAAUCGAGUUCCACGGAAUGAUGAUGGUGGCCUUAGAAGUGUAGAUGGAUGUCUCUCUAUUUUUUCCUAUCCAGGGAAAAAAUUAUCCAAAAGAUUUUAUAAAAGGCAGUUGUCACAUGCUGAAAUGCAAAUUGCGCAUAACUAUGUGAUAUUCAAUUGUCAAGAACUGAAGCCUUAUUUAGAGCAAUGUCGACAAGAGCUAAAGUCACAACAACCAUAUGCGAGUGAUGGUGAAAUUGAAAAAUUAUGCGAAGCGAUCUUUCCAAAUUGGUUAAAAAAUAAUGUAAGUAUUUUAAUAAAAUUAAUUUAUAUUUUAUGUCAAUUAGCUACUUUAAAAAUAUUAUUAAUCUCUUUUAAAUCAUUAUUUCUUAUGGAGUUAACUAUUAUGCUAGGUGGAAUACCAAUCUAACGGAAUUGAAAAUCAGCUCUUUGGACUUGCUAUGGGCCCUUCAACUUCAGUGAAAUGUUAUAAUGGGUAUUAUGUGAAUGGUUUUAAAUUUCAUACUCAACGUUAUGGCCGUUUUAAAAAGACAAUGA